GCCCCCAUGGUGUAGCGGCCUAUCAUCCGGGCCUGUCGAGCCCGGGACACGGAUUCAAAUUCCGUUGGGGGCG
rnacentral:tRNA from 1 species